rnacentral:rRNA from 1 species
GUGGGGAAUAUUGGACAAUGGGCGCAAGCCUGAUCCAGCCAUGCCGCGUGAGUGAUGAAGGCCUUAGGGUUGUAAAGCUCUUUCAGUAGGGAAGAUAAUGACGGUACCCACAGAAGAAGCCCCGGCUAACUUCGUGCCAGCAGCCGCGGUAAUACGAAGGGGGCUAGCGUUGUUCGGAUUUACUGGGCGUAAAGCGCACGUAGGCGGAUCGUUAAGUCGGGGGUGAAAUCCUGGAGCUCAACUCCAGAACUGCCUUUAAUACUGCCAGUCUAGAGUCCAGAAGAGGUGAGUGGAACUCCUAGUGUAGAGGUGGAAUUCGUAGAUAUUAGGAAGAACACCAGUGGCGAAGGCGGCUCACUGGUCCGGUACUGACGCUGAGGUGCGAAAGCGUGGGGAGCAAACAGGAUUAGAAACCCCUGUAGUCC